UACGGGGGGGAGCAAGCGUUGUUCGGAUUUACUGGGCGUAAAGGGCGCGUAGGCGGCGUAACAAGUCACUUGUGAAAUCUCCGGGCUUAACCCGGAGCGGCCAAGUGAUACUGUUGUGCUAGAGUGCGGAAGGGGCUACUGGAAUUCUCGGUGUAGCGGUGAAAUGCGUAGAUAUCGAGAGGAACACCUGCGGCGAAGGCGGGUAGCUGGGCCGACACUGACGCUGAGACGCGAAAGCGUGGGGAGCGAACAGG
rnacentral:rRNA from 1 species